GUUAUAUGGUCAAGUGAAGAAGCGCAUACGGUGGAUGCCUUGGCAGUCAGAGGCGAUGAAAGACGUGGUAGCCUGCGAUAAGCUUCGGGGAGUCGGCAAACAGACUUUGAUCCGGAGAUCUCUGAAUGGGGGAACCCACCCAGCAUAAGCUGGGUAUCUUGUACUGAAUACAUAGGUGCAAGAGGCGAACCAGGGGAACUGAAACAUCUAAGUACCCUGAGGAAAAGAAAUCAACCGAGAUUCCCUUAGUAGUGGCGAGCGAACGGGGACUAGCCCUUAAGUGGCUUUGAGAUUAGCGGAACGCUCUGGAAAGUGCGGCCAUAGUGGGUGAUAGCCCUGUACGCGAAAAUCUCUUAGUCAUGAAAUCGAGUAGGACGGAGCACGAGAAACUUUGUCUGAAUAUGGGGGGACCAUCCUCCAAGGCUAAAUACUACUGACUGACCGAUAGUGAACCAGUACCGUGAGGGAAAGGCGAAAAGAACCCCGGAGAGGGGAGUGAAAUAGAUCCUGAAACCGUAUGCGUACAAGCAGUGGGAGCCUACUUUGUUAGGUGACUGCGUACCUUUUGUAUAAUGGGUCAGCGACUUAUAUUCAGUGGCGAGCUUAACCGAAUAGGGGAGGCGUAGCGAAAGCGAGUGUUAAUAGCGCGUUUAGUCGCUGGGUAUAGACCCGAAACCGGGCGAUCUAUCCAUGGGCAGGUUGAAGGUUAGGUAACACUGACUGGAGGACCGAACCGACUACCGUUGAAAAGUUAGCGGAUGACCUGUGGAUCGGAGUGAAAGGCUAAUCAAGCUCGGAGAUAGCUGGUUCUCCUCGAAAGCUAUUUAGGUAGCGCCUCAUGUAUCACUGUAGGGGGUAGAGCACUGUUUCGGCUAGGGGGUCAUCCCGACUUACCAAACCGAUGCAAACUCCGAAUACCUACAAGUGCCGAGCAUGGGAGACACACGGCGGGUGCUAACGUCCGUCGUGAAAAGGGAAACAACCCAGACCGUCAGCUAAGGUCCCAAAGUUAUGGUUAAGUGGGAAACGAUGUGGGAAGGCUUAGACAGCUAGGAGGUUGGCUUAGAAGCAGCCACCCUUUAAAGAAAGCGUAAUAGCUCACUAGUCGAGUCGGCCUGCGCGGAAGAUGUAACGGGGCUCAAACCAUACACCGAAGCUACGGGUGUCACUUAGGUGACGCGGUAGAGGAGCGUUCUGUAAGCCUGUGAAGGUGAGUUGAGAAGCUUGCUGGAGGUAUCAGAAGUGCGAAUGCUGACAUGAGUAACGACAAUGGGAGUGAAAAACUCCCACGCCGAAAGACCAAGGUUUCCUGCGCAACGUUAAUCGACGCAGGGUUAGUCGGUCCCUAAGGCGAGGCUGAAAAGCGUAGUCGAUGGAAAACAGGUUAAUAUUCCUGUACUUCUAGUUAUUGCGAUGGAGGGACGGAGAAGGCUAGGCCAGCUUGGCGUUGGUUGUCCAAGUUUAAGGUGGUAGGCUGAGAUCUUAGGUAAAUCCGGGAUCUUAAGGCCGAGAGCUGAUGACGAGUUGCCUUUAGGCGACGAAGUGGUUGAUGCCAUGCUUCCAAGAAAAGCUUCUAAGCUUCAGAUAACUAGGAACCGUACCCCAAACCGACACAGGUGGUUGGGUAGAGAAUACCAAGGCGCUUGAGAGAACUCGGGUGAAGGAACUAGGCAAAAUGGCACCGUAACUUCGGGAGAAGGUGCGCCGGUGAGGGUGAAGGACUUGCUCCGUAAGCUCAUGCCGGUCGAAGAUACCAGGCCGCUGCGACUGUUUAUUAAAAACACAGCACUCUGCAAACACGAAAGUGGACGUAUAGGGUGUGACGCCUGCCCGGUGCCGGAAGGUUAAUUGAUGGGGUUAGCUAACGCGAAGCUCUUGAUCGAAGCCCCGGUAAACGGCGGCCGUAACUAUAACGGUCCUAAGGUAGCGAAAUUCCUUGUCGGGUAAGUUCCGACCUGCACGAAUGGCGUAACGAUGGCGGCGCUGUCUCCACCCGAGACUCAGUGAAAUUGAAAUCGCUGUGAAGAUGCAGUGUAUCCGCGGCUAGACGGAAAGACCCCGUGAACCUUUACUAUAGCUUUGCACUGGACUUUGAAUUUGCUUGUGUAGGAUAGGUGGGAGGCUUUGAAGCGUGGACGCCAGUUCGCGUGGAGCCAAUCUUGAAAUACCACCCUGGCAACUUUGAGGUUCUAACUCAGGUCCGUUAUCCGGAUCGAGGACAGUGUAUGGUGGGUAGUUUGACUGGGGCGGUCUCCUCCUAAAGAGUAACGGAGGAGUACGAAGGUGCGCUCAGACCGGUCGGAAAUCGGUCGUAGAGUAUAAAGGCAAAAGCGCGCUUGACUGCGAGACAGACACGUCGAGCAGGUACGAAAGUAGGUCUUAGUGAUCCGGUGGUUCUGUAUGGAAGGGCCAUCGCUCAACGGAUAAAAGGUACUCCGGGGAUAACAGGCUGAUACCGCCCAAGAGUUCAUAUCGACGGCGGUGUUUGGCACCUCGAUGUCGGCUCAUCACAUCCUGGGGCUGAAGCCGGUCCCAAGGGUAUGGCUGUUCGCCAUUUAAAGUGGUACGCGAGCUGGGUUUAGAACGUCGUGAGACAGUUCGGUCCCUAUCUGCCGUGGACGUUUGAGAUUUGAGAGGGGCUGCUCCUAGUACGAGAGGACCGGAGUGGACGAACCUCUGGUGUUCCGGUUGUCACGCCAGUGGCAUUGCCGGGUAGCUAUGUUCGGGAGAGAUAACCGCUGAAAGCAUCUAAGCGGGAAACUUGCCUCAAGAUGAGAUCUCACUGGAGCCUUGAGCUCCCUGAAGGGCCGUCGAAGACUACGACGUUGAUAGGUUGGGUGUGUAAGCGCUGUGAGGCGUUGAGCUAACCAAUACUAAUUGCCCGUGAGGCUUGACCAUAUAACACCCAAGCAAUU
rnacentral:rRNA from 1 species